rnacentral:rRNA from 1 species
CCUACGGGAGGCAGCAGUGAGGAAUAUUGGUCAAUGGCCGGAAGGCUGAACCAGCCAUGCCGCGUGAAGGUCAGUGCCCUAUGGGCGUUCAACUUCUUUUGUUCGGGAGCAAUAAUGGUCACGUGUGGCCAGACGAGAGUACCGUACGAAUAAGGAUCGGCUAACUCCGUGCCAGCAGCCACGGUAAUACGGAGGAUCCAAGCGUUAUCCGGAUUUAUUUGGUUUAAAGGGUGCGUAGGCGGUUUGAUAAGUUAGAGGUGAAAGACCGGUGCUCAACACCGGAACUGCAUCUAAUACUGUUGAACGAGAGAGUAGUUGCGGUAGGCGGAAUGUAUGGUGUAGCGGUGAAAUGCUUAGAGAUCAUACAGAACACCGAUUGCGAAGGCAGCUUACCAAACUAUAUCUGACGUUGAGGCACGAAAGCGUGGGUAGCAAACAGGAUUAGAUACCCUUGUAGUC